UCUGGCCUCAAUAUCCCAAAGGCACCAGAUCCCAUCCGAUCCUGAAUAAUGCUAAGCAGGGUCAGUCCUGGUGAGUAUUUGGAUAGGAGAUGGCUAAAGAAAACCAGGUACUGCAGGAU
rnacentral:rRNA from 11 species